AUGCCUUCCCCCCCUUCCACUAAUACCCAGGGAAGGCCAGAAGAUUCUAGACAAGAAAGCGGAGUUGAUCUUGGUGGCACCGUUCUGGCCCAGGAGACAGUGGUUCGUGGACCUCCGGAGCCUCUCCACAGCAGAACUGUGGAAAAUUCCACCGCACAGGAUUCGGCUUACCCAGGGGCCGAUUCAGCAACCAGACCCUCAGUGGCUACACCUAGCCAUCUGGAGGUUGAGCAGCGACAUCUAAAGAGGGAAAACCUCUCAUCUAAGGUCAUCAAAACCAUCCAAGCAGCUUGGCGUCCUUCAACAAGCCGCAUAUACGACGCCACCUGGAAGACUUUCUAUACAUGGUGCUCCAAAUCCAACAUCGACUCCUUUUCUCCAUCAGUAGCACAAGUCUUGGAGUUUCUCCAAGAUGGUCUCGAUAGAGGCAUCUCGCCAAAUACUUUAAGGCAACAGGUAGCGGCCAUUGCAUCAGUGGUGCAUUGGAAAGGCCUAACAUCUAUCUUGCACCAUCCACAAAUAAAGAGUUUCCUUUGGGGGGCUACUAAUUUAUGUCCACCAGUAAUCCAUCGUUACCCGACAUGGGACCUUAACCAGGUCCUUACAGUGCUCACCAAAGGUCCAUUUGAACCGCUGAGAACUACCAGUCUCCAAUUUCUAACUUACAAGGUAGUGUUUCUCAUAGCCAUAACAUCUGCACGAUGUAUCUCAGAAGUAGCAGCUCUAUCAGUCCGAAAGGUCCUCUGUAUAUUCCAUGCAGACAGGGUAGUCCUCCGUCCAGACCCUACGUUCACUCCAAAGGUUAAUUCCCCUUUUCACAGGGCACAAGAACUGGUCCUCCCAAGUUUCUGUCCCAGGCCUUCUCACGGUCUGGAACACCAGUGGCACUGGCUGAAUGUCUGCAGAGCGCUCCGUACCUACUUACAUAGAACGGCUCCAUUCAGGAAAACUGAAGCCCUAUUUGUCUCCUUUCAUCCAACCACUCAAGGACAGAAGGUCUCACCUUCCACUAUAGGCAGAUGGUUAAAGGCCACGAUAGCCAAGGUGUAUAAAACACAAUCAUUACCCAUGCCGGGUGGCAUCACGGCACAUUCCACAAGGAGCGCAACUUCAGCGGCCUGGGCCACUCAAGCUCCUAUAACUGAAGUAUGUUGA
rnacentral:lncRNA from 1 species